rnacentral:rRNA from 1 species
CUGAGAGUUUGAUCCUGGCUCAGAACGAACGCUGGCGGCAUGCCUAACACAUGCAAGUCGAACGGCUCUUCGGAGCAGUGGCGCACGGGUGAGUAACGCGUGGGAACCUACCUCGAGGUACGGAAUAACGGCUGGAAACGGCCGCUAAUACCGUAUGUGUCCUAAGGGAGAAAGAUUUAUCGCCUUGAGAGGGGCCCGCGUCCGAUUAGCUAGUUGGUGAGGUAAUGGCUCACCAAGGCUGUGAUCGGUAGCUGGUCUGAGAGGAUGAUCAGCCACACUGGGACUGAGACACGGCCCAGACUCCUACGG